AGAAAAGGAGGCUUCCCCUAAUAAUUUUUUUUAACUUGCACACAUAAUAGUUAAAAAUUUUAUCAAUGUUCUGAUAUGAACGUACUUUGAAUACUUGUUACAGGUAUUGAUGACUGUCAUAACUUUCGCACCCUCCCAUCUUUUCUUGCUUAUUAUAGCGGGUGGAGCGCUUUUCUUUGCGUCUUUAUAUUUUGGCUGUGCCCCUCGUUCUAUUUAUUCUUUAGCCGCGUAUGUACUUCAUUUCUUCCUAGGCUCCGAGCGCCCUUUUCAAAUUACUAAAUUAGCCAAAGGCCUAUACAUCGGUGUAUUGCCCAAAACCCAAGAUCACUUAAAGCAACUCAGAGAUAUGGGCGUUACUAAGAUUGUCACACUCUUAGAACCACACGAACUAAAAAUUACCAGUUCUGAAUUAAAAUCCUUUGGUUUUCAGCACAUUGAGCUGCAUGUGCCGGAUUAUUCUUCUCCGACCCUUAAAGAAGUUCAAAAGGCUGUUACUUUUAUUGAGAAUGGUAAGCAGGUAGAAGCAGGGGUCUCUCUAAAUGAACAAGAUCUAGAAAAAAGAGAACACAGGGAUAUUGUGUUUAUUCACUGUAAAGGGGGAAGAGGUCGUUCUGCCGUCGUAGCAAUUGCGCUCUUAAUGAAAAGGAAUAGAUGGAGCCCACAGAGAUCAUAUGGCUACGUCCUUUCUAAAAAAAAUAUCGCUAAUCUGAAAGGUCCUUUUGGUUUACGAAAGCACUGGCGCGUCUUAUCGGAGUGGGAAAAGCUAAUAAUGAAGUCAAGUAAUUUUUCCCGUCAGCAAUCUAAAACUGACAAAGAGUUAUAGUCCACUUUUUUACUACUCAGUACUCAAAAUCAUUAGCAAAAAUAAAAGUG